rnacentral:rRNA from 1 species
GACGAACGCUGGCGGCGUGCUUAACACAUGCAAGUCGAACGAGGGGAUUAAUUUUCUCUUCGAGUUUUUGAAAGGCUGGACUUUGCGAGCGCGUGGAUGCGAAGCAUCCACUACACUUUAUAAAAGUGCUAACACUUUUGAAGGCUGGAAGAGAAAAUUUGACCCGAGUGGCAAACGGGUGAGUAACGCGUAGACAACCUGCCUCUUAGAUGGGGACAACAUCCCGAAAGGGGUGCUAAUACCGAAUGUUGUGCAACCUCCACAUGGAGGAUGCACCAAAGGUGGUUUCGGCCACCGCUGAGAGAUGGGGUCUGCGUCUGAUUAGCUUGUUGGCGGGGUAACGCCCACCAAGGCGACGAUCAGUAGCCGGUNUGAGAGGAUGAACGGCCACAUUGGAACUGAGACACGGUCCAGACUCCUACGGGAGGCGAGCAGUGGGGAAUC